ACACAAGAAAGCCCAAAAACACAACAAAACCCAUAGGAUCAACAAACACCCCCCCACACUUAAAAUCUAGCACUGUCCUCAGUGCUCGCAAAAAAAAGGGGUGAAAGAGAAAAACUUCCCUGAAUAUCGAUCCAAGUGGCGAGCCCAUAGUUUCCCACGAUGUCUGCCUAUCUAUCAUCCAUAGAACAAACAAUCUCCAACGCACCAACCUGCAC
rnacentral:lncRNA from 1 species